rnacentral:rRNA from 1 species
AAUCCCUUAACGAGGAACAAUUGGAGGGCAAGUCUGGUGCCAGCAGCCGCGGUAAUUCCAGCUCCAAUAGCGUAUAUUAAAGUUGUUGCCGUUAAAAAGCUCGUAGUUGAACCUUGGACCUGGCUGAUCUGUCCUCCUAAUCGAGCGCACGGAUUCGGUCGGGUCUUUCCUUCUGGGGAGCCCUAUGCCCUUCACUGGGUGUAGUGGGGAACCAGGACUUUUACCUUGAAAAAAUUAGAGUGUUCAAAGCAGGCCUUUGCUCGAAUACAUUAGCAUGGAAUAAUAGAAUAGGACAUCGGUUCUAUUUUGUUGGUUUCUAGGACCGCUGUAAUGAUUAAUAGGGAUAGUCGGGGGCGUCAGUAUUCAAUUGUCAGAGGUGAAAUUCUUGGAUUUAUUGAAGACUAACUACUGCGAAAGCAUUCGCCAAGGAUGUUUUCAUUAAUCAGUGAACGAAAGUUAGGGGAUCGAAGACGAUCAGAUACCGUCGUAGUCUUAACCAUAAACUAUGCCGACUAGGGAUCGGACGGUGGUUUUUUUAUGCCCCGUUCGGCACCUUACGAGAAAUCAAAGUUUUUGGGCUCGGGGGGGAGUAUGGUCGCAAGGCUGAAACUUAAAGAAAUUGACGGAAGGGCACCACCAGGCGUGGAGCCUGCGGCUUAAUUUGACCCAACACGGGGAAACUCACCAGGUCCAGACAUGCUUAGGAUUGACAGAUUGAUAGCUCUUUCUUGAUUGUAUGGGUGGUGGUGCAUGGCCGUUCUUAGUUGGUGGAGUGAUUUGUCUGCUUAAUUGCGAUAACGAACGAGACCUUGACCUGCUAAAUAGCCAGGUUGACUUUUGUCGGCCGCCGGCUUCUUAGAGGGACUUUUGGCUCAAGCCAAUGGAAGUACGAGGCAAUAACAGGUCUGUGAUGCCCUUAGAUGUUCUAGGCCGCACGCGCGCUACACUGACAGAGCCAGCGAGUACAUCACCUUGGCCGAAAGGUCUGGGUAAUCUUGUCAAACUCUGUCGUGCUGGGGAUAGAGCAUUGCAAUUAUUGCUCUUCAACGAGGAAUGCCUAGUAAGCGCAAGUCAUCAGCUUGCGUUGAUUACGUCCCUGCCCUUUGUACACACCGCCCGUCGCUACUACCGGUUGAAUGGCUCAGUGAGGCCUUGGGACUGGCUCAGAGAGGUCGGCAACGACCACUCAGAGCCGGAAACUUGUUCAAACUUGGUCAUUUAGAGGAAGUAAAAGUCGUAACAAGGUUUCCGUAGGAACCUGCGGAAG